UCUGAGUUUCAAAACCGCUCAUCACAUUUUGAAACCUUUGAACGCAUGUGGUUUGAUAUAGGAUAUUGGUGGUGAUUAGGCGAGCCCGCUUUCUUCACUCCGGAAAUGAGAGAGAAAGUGAGAAACAAAUCAUGUUCUCUUUUUGCGAGGUCUCUACUAUGUAAAUCAGAGUGUGACAGAUCGAGUUCGAUCCUCGUGGAAAACAAGGCAUGUUCGAUUUUGUUUACGGGCUUUUACUCUUCAUCUCUGAUAAAUUAUAGUAAAUGAGCCCAGAUUUUUAAAUGGAUCCAGCUUAACAAUUGAUGUUUUAUUAUGCAUUACUUAUUAAUUAUAAGAAAUCAAAACACCUAUUUAAUAAUAAUAA